AUCUGUCUCUAUUACCACCGGGGUAGACACCGAGACAACAAGACCCAGGGGAUCUCUGCCUGCAUCUCAACUACUGGCUUUUAUGACUGUAUUUUUCGCAAGCCAUCCUCCCGAAGUCCCCAUUAACUGUACGUUAUAGGGUGUCCCUGCCCUAACACACCUGACUCAGCUCUUCAGCUCAUUAACAAACGCUUGACGAGGUUCCAACGGAUGCUGGCACGUGGAAAACGCCACAAAACAAACGUGCAGUGCAGGGCUACUCCAGGAGUAGGGCUAGGAAGCGGCGCAUUAAGCUGAGGCUGGUGGAAAACUAGAAAUUGGAAGCAGGGAGAAUUUCAGCAAAGUCAGGUCUUCUCUCAAUCUCUCCUUAAGAGCCCGAGGCCUACUCUGAGUGAUUUAUCAACACUACUCAUGAGGGAUUUCUAACUCAGUGGUAGGUCAUGUACCUCUUUUCUUUUUUUACUUCAAAAACAUACUCCUCU